rnacentral:rRNA from 1 species
UACGUAGGGGGCAAGCGUUGUCCGGAAUCAUUGGGCGUAAAGAGCGUGUAGGCGGUUCGGUAAGUCUGCUGUGAAAGUCCAGGGCUCAACCCUGGAAAGCCGGUGGAUACUGUCGGACUAGAGUGCGGAAGAGGCGAGUGGAAUUCCCGGUGUAGCGGUGAAAUGCGCAGAUAUCGGGAGGAACACCUAUGGCGAAGGCAGCUCGCUGGGACGUUACUGACGCUGAGACGCGAAAGCGUGGGGAGCAAACAGG